rnacentral:misc_RNA from 1 species
GAUGAGAACGCAGCGAAAUGCGAUAAGUAGUGUGAAUUGCAGAAUUCAGUGAAUCAUCGAAUCUUUGAACGCACAUUGCGCCCUUUGGUAUUCCAAAGGGCAUGCCUGUUCGAGCGUCAUUUGUACCCUCAAGCUUUGCUUGGUGUUGGGCGUCUUGUCUCUAGCUUUGCUGGAGACUCGCCUUAAAGUAAUUGGCAGCCGGCCUACUGGUUUCGGAGCGCAGCACAAGUCGCACUCUCUAUCAGCAAAGGUCUAGCAUCCACUAAGCCUUUUUUUCAACUUUUGACCUCGGAUCAGGUAGGGAUACCCGCUGAACUUAAGCAUAUCAAUAAGCGGAGGA